GGACCCGUAGCGUAGCAGGAUAACGCACAGGCCUCCUAAGUCUGGGAAAUCGUGGGAUGCGAAUGAUGAAUUCGAUUCCUUGGUUCAGAAAAUCGUGGGUUCGAAUCCCACCGGGUCCG
rnacentral:tRNA from 1 species